UUGAUCCUGCCGGAGGCUACCGCUAUUGGAGUUCGAUUAAGCCAUGCGAGUCGAGAGUCCUCGGGACUCGGCGUACCGCUCAGUAACACGUGGGUAACCUGCCCUAUGCUGGGGAAUAACCUCGGGAAACUGAGAAUAAUGCCCCAUAGCCCACUACGCCUGGAACGGUGAGUGGGUCAAAGCUCCGGCGGCAUAGGAUGGGCCUGCGGCGUAUCAGGUUGUAGGGGGUGUAACGUACCCUCUAGCCAUCAACGCGUACGGGCGUUGGGAGACAUAGCCCGGAGAUGGAUUCUGAGACACGAAUCCAGACCCUACGGGGUGCAGCAGGCGCGAAAACUUGGCAAUGCGAGAAAUCGUGACCAGGGAACUCCAAGUGGCUGGGGUAAGACCCAGUCUUUUCUUGACUCUUCAAAGGUCUUGGAAUAAGGGGUGGGUAAGGACGGUGCCAGCCGCCGCGGUAAUACCGGCGCCUCAAGUGGUAGUCGAUUUUAUUGGGCCUAAAACGUCCGUCGCCUGUUUGGUACAUUCGUGGGUAAAUCAACCAGCUCAACUGGUUGAAUUCUGCGAGCACGGCCAGACUUGGGACCGGGAGAGGUGUGGGGUACGUUCAGGGUAGGGGUAAA
rnacentral:rRNA from 1 species